rnacentral:rRNA from 1 species
GAUGAACGCUGGUGGCGUGCCUAAUACAUGCAAGUCGAGCGAAUGGAUUGAGAGCUUGCUCUUAUGAAGUUAGCGGCGGACGGGUGAGUAACACGUGGGUAACCUGCCCAUAAGACUGGGAUAACUCCGGGAAACCGGGGCUAAUACCGGAUAACAUUUUGAACCGCAUGGUUCGAAAUUGAAAGGCGGCUUCGGCUGUCACUUAUGGAUGGACCCGCGUCGCAUUAGCUAGUUGGUGAGGUAACGGCUCACCAAGGCAACGAUGCGUAGCCGACCUGAGGGGGUGAUCGGCCACACUGGGACUGAAACACGGCCCAGACUCCUACGGGAGGCAGCAGUAGGGAAUCUUCCGCAAUGGACGAAAGUCUGACGGAGCAACGCCGCGUGAGUGAUGAAGGCUUUCGGGUCGUAAAACUCUGUUGUUAGGGAAGAACAAGUGCUAGUUGAAUAAGCUGGCACCUUGACGGUACCUGACCAGAAAGCCACGGCUAACUACGUGCCAGCAGCCGCGGUAA